rnacentral:rRNA from 1 species
UCCGAGUUGUAAUUUGCAGAGGGCGCUUUGGUGUUGGCAGCGGUCCAAGUUCCUUGGAACAGGACGUCACAGAGGGUGAGAAUCCCGUACGUGGUCGCUAGCCUCCGCCGUGUAAAGCCCCUUCGACGAGUCGAGUUGUUUGGGAAUGCAGCUCUAAAUGGGAGGUAAAUUUCUUCUAAAGCUAAAUACUGGCCAGAGACCGAUAGCGCACAAGUAGAGUGAUCGAAAGAUGAAAAGCACUUUGGAAAGAGAGUCAAAUAGCACGUGAAAUUGUUGAAAGGGAAGCGCUUGCAGCCAGACUUGCCUGUAGUUGCUCAUCUGGGCUUUUGCCCGGUGCAUUCUUCUGCAGGCAGGCCAGCAUCAGUUUGGGCGGUUGGAUAAAGGUCUCUGUCAUGUACCUCUCUUCGGGGAGGCCUUAUAGGGGAGACGUCAUGCAACCAGCCUGGACUGAGGUCCGCGCAUUUGCUAGGAUGCUGGCGUAAUGGCUGUAAGCGGCCCGUCUUGAAACACGGACCAAGGAGUCUAACAUCUAUGCGAGUGUUUGGGUGUCAAGCCCGAGCGCGUAAUGAAAGUGAACGGAGGUGGGAACCCUUUGGGUGCACCAUCGACCGAUCCUGAUGUCUUCGGAAGGAUUUGAGUAAGAGCAUGGCUGUUGGGACCCGAAAGAUGGUGAACUAUGCUUGAAUAGGGU